GAAACUGAUGAGGACUCUGGAUUGACACCGAAGCGUCCUAAAUGUCAAAAUAACAUUUCAUUCUGUGUUUUAAAGAAACAUUUGGCAAGCUGUGCAAGUAGCAGGUUAAAGAAAGUUGUAUGAUCUAGACCUCACUCAUAGUCAUACUCCUAAUGAAGUUCAUGAAGGCGGAUCAAGAACUUCAGACAUCUACUUGACCGUUUUUUGAGCUGAACCGCACUACACUUACCCACCAAGCAGUAUGUGACAUUUGUGUGCAGCUGACAGGGAAGAAUAUGAUAUAUUGUAAAUAAAAUAAUAUAAUGUAAAUAAUUAAAUAAAUGAAAAAUAAUUUAAUAUAUUUGUAAUUAAAGUA